GCAAAGUGUGAUGCAGAAGUGGCUGCCCGUGAAGCUGAGCAAGCCCGAUCUAUGGCUGACCAAUCCCAAGCUAUGGCUGAGCAAGCCCGAGCUGUGGCUGAGCAAAAGGCCCAGAUUGAACACUUGACCAUGGUAGCACAAUAUCUUCGAGAAAAUGAUCCGUGCUUCAUGGAUUUUUUGGCUGCCAAAUCAGCUGCAGUAGCACAGCCUCCAUCAACCAGUCUUCACCAAGCAGAUCCACCUUCUAGUCCAUCUCCACCUUAGGUUACUCUCUCUAAUUCUCAGCUAUCUUCAGUCCUGAACUCNNNNN
rnacentral:lncRNA from 1 species